CUUGAUUUGUAAAUCUUAUUUUAUAGUAAAGAUCAUAUUUCAACUAUAGAGCAGUCCCAGCGGUCCCUGAAAAUUCAUUCCUAUUAUGGUAUUCAGGCACGGUUGUUAACUAAAGUUUGAAUUUUGAGGAAUAUAAAAUGAAUUUCAGGUUUUAGGCCAAAAUAUUGAAACUAAAAACAUUCAUGGCUAAAAAAUUGUCUGAAUCAACUAAUUUUGUUUGAUAAAGAACCUACACGUUCACAGUUCAAACAAACAAUUUUGAACUAAAAUUUUAAAUUUACUUUGCGUCCCAAACAGUUUUCACCCUUUGUAGAAAAACCUUGUCUGCGAUGUCACACCAUCUUAAAAUUAGAGCAAAGUUUCUGAAAUAAAAUUAUAUUGAGCACUGAAGAGGUAAGAAAUGCCACUUGUAACCUUGGACACAAGGAGAAUUGUUUCGCAAACUCCAGCAACUGUAAAAUGAGAAUGAUAGAAUAGCAAUACACAUUAAAAAUAACAAAAAACGGAAAAGCUGAUCUUUUUAUUAUAUCACUGUAUAGUUGUUAUUAUUGAAUAUUUAU